CCUUCGAUAGCUCAGAUGGAAGAGCGUGGGACUGUAAUAUUUACGUUACGUAAGCAACUGUUUACGAGUUAUCCCGAGGCCACCGGUUCGAUCCCGGUUCGAAGGA
rfam:Hypholoma sublateritium FD-334 SS-4 unplaced genomic scaffold scaffold_131, whole genome shotgun sequence.